rnacentral:lncRNA from 1 species
GCGGAGCGAGCGGCGGUUGGGAGCGCUCGGCAGCUGCAGCCUCGCGCGGGGAGCAGCGAGCGGCGCGGAGCCCGCAGGGUCGGGUCAUGCUGCGCACGCCUUGCUGCUCCCGCCGCCGCUCGCCCCCGCCCCUGCCUCGCCGCGGGAAUAAUGCACUAGGAUGUCAGCGCUGAGAAAGGAUUUCUCAUCCAGUGAAGCACGAGUGUAACCACUGCAAGUUCACCCCUGCUGCUACUUGUGAAUGCCUGCAACGUGCACAAGGCUCAGACAUUAUGGGGACGACUCAGGUUCUGCCUGGCAUACUGCAAAAGCAUUGCUGUAUUUUACCAGACAGGAAUACAGAUUGGAGCUCAAAAAUAACUAAGAAGUGAAAAAUUAGGUAUUUGUUGCAAACUUUACACUCUCAAAUUAAAGCUUAAAAACCUCCCAGGAAGGAAAGGAGGCCAGAUUGGAGGGGGAGGAGGUGAGAGGAAGGAAGUGGGUGGAGAAAAACCACUAUAUACCCAAGAUGCAAGGAAAGUUGAAAAGUAGAAGAAAAAAUAU